rnacentral:rRNA from 1 species
CAGCCGCCGCGGUAAUACGUAGGUGGCAAGCGUUGUCCGGAAUUAUUGGGCGUAAAGGGCUCGCAGGCGGUUUCUUAAGUCUGAUGUGAAAGCCCCCGGCUCAACCGGGGAGGGUCAUUGGAAACUGGGAAACUUGAGUGCAGAAGAGGAGAGUGGAAUUCCACGUGUAGCGGUGAAAUGCGUAGAGAUGUGGAGGAACACCAGUGGCGAAGGCGACUCUCUGGUCUGUAACUGACGCUCAUGCACGAAAGCGUGGGGAGCAAACAGGAUUAGAUACCCGCGUAGUCCCUGUCUCUUAUAC